UGUGGCAUAUGGAAGUUCCCAGGCUAGGGGUCGAAUUGGAGCUACAGCCGCCAGCCUACACCUCAGCCACAGCAACACAGGAUCUGAGUUGCAUCUGUGACCUGCACCACAGCUCACGGCAAUGCUGGAUCCCCGACGCACUGAGCGAGGCCAGGGAUAGAACCCGUAUCCUCAUGGAUACUAGUCAGAUUCGUUUCUGCUGGGCCACAAUGGGAACUCCUGAAUAUAUCCACUUUAUUUUGGAGUGGAGGACCUAGUUUUCAAGAGAUUCUUAUUUAAAAGGCUCCAGCAUACCCACCAACAAUGAAGACCAUGACUUGUUAUUCCAUGCUUUUCUUUAAUAGCUGAGGAGGAAGAGGCAGAGAAAUGCAGUAACUUGCCCAAGGUCACACAACAAGUUGGUGAAACAAACUUGGCACAGAACAUACCUCUCCAAAAUCUUAAUGUAAAUCUUGACGGACUGAACUAAACUACUUGAAUGGUCUUGAUUUAGUUUUUUAAAACUUUCUGUUAAAAAAUCUAGAUAUCUCAGAUUUGGAUAGUUUUCAUGAGUGUAUGGAAAAGAACAUUACCAAGUCCUAAACAAGCUAGUGGCACAUCUACCUGUUUAGACAUCAUAGCCUCCUGGGUACCACUUAGUGCCAAGCAUGAGGAUGACAACUAACAAAUUAAGUCAGGUAUCUGAAGAUAUGCUUACAUUUUAUGGAAUACACAGAUAUUUAAAAAUUCUGGAUUUUUUCCAUUUUCAUCUGAAAGCGUGACAUCCAACAGAGAGAUGGUACACAUGAAUACGCAAGCUAUUUUGGCUAUGAAGUCAAAAUGGGCAACCUGGAUUAUAGUCUGCAGAUCUAGUCAGAAAGGGUACAGUUCAGCAGGAAGGAAAAAAAGCAAUUUUGAGGGAGAGUUCAGAACACAUGGAAGAAUAAUGGAUAUCUCAGAGAGUUUAAAUAUUAUGGUGUGGAGUGUAUUUUAGUGGAAAAAAUAACAGUGAAUUACAUGCCUGAGAUGUGUGUAAAAUGGUCUUUCAUGCUUCAUAAGAAGUGUGAAUGAGGUGAUCUUAAGGUAGGAAUCCACAUUGUUUUUCACACACAGAUUUCCAAAGAUUGUGUACUUUAUGGCAGAACGAAGCUUUGGAUGUAGGUGUAAGGAUAUAUGUAGACACAAUCCCUGGUGUAUAGAGAGCACUCGGUCAGCGGAGGCUGAGAUUAUCUUUAUUUCAAAGAUAAGGUACUAGCCAGGUUGUAGACUUAUAUUACAUCUUACAUCUAUUAUGAUCACACAACAUUACUGCUCAUAACCUAUUCUUACCAUUUACUAGUUAUCUAGAGCAUUUCUGAAUCAAAUUUCAUUGGAGGUCAUACCUACCCUCACAGGGUUAUAGUGAGAGCUAAAAUGUGAGAAGAAAGGUUUUCUUUGCCUUGAAGAUUAAUUCAAUCCCUCAAGACAAAGAACUGCUGAACUGACCUGCAAGUACAAAAUGGUAUAUGCUUCACAGGGCACCUUCUAAUUGAAAGAACAUAUACAUUGAUAGUGAGAAGUCAAAUUAAAAAAAAUCACUUUAUGUUUAUUCAUAUUGCUACCAUUUUUACUUUCCAACAGUUUUAAAGUUUUAUCAGCUACAUGGUGCAGUGAAGUGGUACCAUUAGGAAAUUGCAGAUCGACCAGAAAUAUAAUUUUAAUGAUUAAAUGAUACUAAUGAGAAAUAUCUUCAAAGGGACUCAUACACAAAUCAGCAAAUUAGAAAACAGAUUUACAUCCCCUGACAUUUGGGGAAAACGUUUCCAUAAAGAUUUUUACCCAGGUGAUGUGUCAUGCUUCAAUAAGCUGUUAAUGCGAUUGACGAUCCAACUAAACAGGCGUCCGUACAAGGUUUUAGCCAUCGCAUCCCUGACAUCAGUAGCUUUUUCUACAGUAUUGGGUCGUAUGAUGGUUUCUCCUCUAGUGACCACACAGUGGGAAGUAAGAGCUUCUUGUAACUCAUCUGCUUGAAUGCAAAGCAAAGAAGCAGCUAAAAUAAAUAAAUAAAUAAAGAAAGAUGUGUUAUUAGAAGACAUCCUGAUAAUGAAGUAAUCUCCCGGAAAAGAAAACCGUCAAUUCACCUUCUUCAAAUGACAUGAGAUAAAUGUGAAGAUUUUAUAAUGCAAAAAUAAGUUCCUAUUUAAUGAGAGUUUUAUGUCCCUUUCUGAUCAUUUCUUCCCCUAUCUCUGGUUAAAGGUAGGCGAUUGUAUAACAUGGCACAGCCCAAGAUGAACUGGCUGACAGAGUGACAAGCUGCACAAACCACAAAUAAUUUCACUGAAUUAUGUUAAACAAUUUAAAAACAUAACGAAUAUAAUACUCAUGAUGAACAUAAUAUAAGAUUCAUGAAAACAUGAAUACUGGAUACCACUAUUUUACACAUUUUCAAAACAUAGAAAUUAAUUGCAAGGUUACCUAGACUUCAGGGAUAUACCCAACAAGUAACUUCUGCAAUAUAGAAACAAAUAAGCAUAAAACAUCUUGAAAUUCAUAUACCUUCAUCAUAUUACUUUGUUACAUAUUUCAAUGACUAAAGUUUGUAAACCUAUUGCCUGAAUAAACAUUUAAUAUUUAAUGAUAACCAAAUAUCACAGGAAAUUUUAAAUGAGUAAAACUUAAGCUCAGUGAACAAAAAUCAUUUUUACAUAUAAAAAACAUCCUUAACCUAAACUAUUACAUGACAGAUAGCCUAAUUUUUCAAAUCAGUUGUUCUUCUUUGAAAAUAUUUUGAAUAUUUGAAAUUUACUUUUAGCAUGUAGGACAAGAUAUUUCUUGGUUAUACGGCUUAAACUGUUGAGCCUUAUUUAAACAAAAUGUUUUUUCACAUUGUAGAAGUAAUACAGACUCACUGCAGAAAUCUUACCUUCAAAGAAAACAUUCUACAUUUCUUUCCUUCUAGGUGGGUUUAUUGCCACUGUUCUGCACAAAUAUUUGACCUUAAUAUCUUAGGCAUUUCAUAUUUGGUUGAAUACUGUUGGUUAAUAUAAUUUUAAUUUGCUGCCUAAUAUUCUGACAUACAUCAUAAUGUAUCAGUUAUUAAAUUGUUGGAUGUUUGGGUUGUUUCCAUAUGUCCACAAUUGUAAAGAAUGCUAGGAUAAAUAUUUUGGGUGUGAAUCUGUGUUCCUGUUUUUCAUUAUUUGCAUAAAUUGCCUAAAUCAGCAACUGGUUCAGAGGAUAUAAACAUAUUUAAGCUUUUAUAUACAUACGUUUUAGCUGCUCUUUAGCAACUCUGAACCAACAUUCCUAUCAGCCAAAUGAAAGAUAAAUAAUUUCAACACAAUUUCCUAGAUAUCAGGAAUUAUUAUUUUCAAAAAUAAUGCUUUCUUCAUUCAAUUUGUUUUUCUUAGUGAAGUUGAAUAGUUGCUUUCAUAUUUUUAUUAGUUAUUUGUGCUUCUUAUUUUGUAAACUGCCCCUUUCAUCGAUAGAAUCAUCUCUUCAUAAUCAACUUCUAAGAGCUCUUUAGAGUUUAAAGAGAGUAAUGCUUUGAUAUGUAUGCUGCAAGUAUUCUCCCUCAUUUUCAUUUGCAUUGUAAUUUCAUUUGUUUUCCUAUUUUUUUAGUAUAAGACAAUUUAAAUUUUUAUGUAGUUAUAGAUCCAUUUAAAAAAUCAUUUCUUCUCUUGGUUUUCUGCACAUAAAGUCCUUCAAGUCUUUUCUCCUCUUAGGAUAAUAUGAAUGCAUUUUCCCUUUACAUUUAAUUAUUUAUUUACUUAUCUGCAUUUAAAUGGAUACACAUUUGGAAUUCACUUUGGUAUAUGGUGUAUGAGAAGGAUUCAAACACCCCCUCCUCCAAAUAGUUGGCCAGUUGCAUGACAGCACUGCUUCUCUAGUAAUUUGUAAUGCCUUUUCUGGUAAUUCCACUUGGAUCUAUAUCUGAAUAGUGUCUCCUAUGACUGUUUAUUUUUAUUUCCAUUGCCACAUUAUUCACUCAUCUGACAUAUAUCUAUUUAUUAAGCGGUUACUACAUGUCAGGCAUUUGUCCUAGGGAUGUACUGCUAAGUAGAACACUUCGUAAGGUAAAGCUCUCAGCCUGAUGGUCUUUAUCCAGAGGGAAUGGGAAGUUAAUUAAGAAGUAUAAGUGGGAAGAUAGAGAGAGGGGGAGAAGGAGAGGGACAAGGAUGGGGAAAGGGAGAUUGAGACACCUCACUGACACACAUUGAGUGGUUUCUGAAUGAAUUGUUGAGAAUGGCCCGGAAAAGUUCAAGAAUUGAUGUGGAAUGAAUCAACUGUCUUAGAUAAGAGAAUAAUGAUGAUGGAGACAAAGAGAAAGGUCAUAUUUGGGAGAGAGUUAUGGGAUAAAAUGGACAAAAUUGGUGCCUGCUUGAAAUCAUGCACUUGUAAAAAUCAUCUGGAAACAUGGCCUUGGUUUGGAGAUAAUUCCUUGUAACUUUAAUUAUAAAUCACUCUACUGUCAAUUAGUAAAAUUCUAUUUUCCAUGAGUGGCUUGUUCUAGAAAGUGCUUUAAUUAAUUUAAACUAUAUUCAUAUUAACCUUUUGUGACUGAUAUGACUGUAUUCUGCUAAAAAGAAAUGGGUAGUUUCUAAGCAUAUUCAUAACUACAACAUAUCUCUAUUGAGACUUAUUCUGUUGGUGGCUGAUAACUUUUCUAAUUAUGAUUAGAUGGUGAGGUUUGACUCUUUUCACUGGAGUUUUCUGGUUAUUAUUUCCACCUCUGAUGACCUAAUAUCUUUGUGCCAAUUAUGUUUUCUUCAUAUGUGAAAAACCAGAGCAAGCUUUCCAGAUACCUGCUAAUCAUUACAUGCCAACCUCAGACACUUGUUCUGCUGUAUUACCAAGUUGGUUCCAGAGACUCAGUGGGCUAGAGAUGAUAGUAAUCUGGGGAGAGGUCCAGACCAGAGUGGUCUGGAACUUGGCCCACUGAAAUUACCUGAAAACAUCUCAUUCUGUUCCUGAGUAAGGGUAAAUCAGAAAAAAAUAUAUAAAUAAAAAUUUAUAUCAUGAUUUCCUAAGUUAUAAAUUAAACUUUUAGCAAAUAUGGAAUGGUGGAGACAUAUGCCAGUAUUAAAAUAAAACAAUAGGGUAUAUUCUAAAUAAAAAAGCUUUGCCACGGCAAGGUAUCAGUGAGAAACAUUAAAUUAGUGAAAUAAUUCAUCAAACUCUGCUAGCAAGAUUCAAGCUGAUUUGAAGCAACUACCAUGAUAUGCUUUUCUUAAAUAGGAAAUGACUGAGAGUUCCUGUUGUGGCUCAGUGGUUGACAAGCCUGGUUGGCAUCCAUGGGGGCAUGGGUUUGACCUCUGGCCUUGCUCAGUGGGUUGGAGAUCCAGCAUUCCCAUGAGCUGUAGUGUGGGUCGCAGAUGCAGCUCAGAUCCCAUGUUGCUGUGGCUCUGGUAUAGGCCAGUGGCUGCAGCUCUGGUUGGACCCCUAGCCUGGGAAAC
rnacentral:lncRNA from 1 species